UGGUAUCGAUGUUGAACAGGUGUCUGUCGU
rnacentral:piRNA from 1 species